GGUCCUGUGGUGUAGUGGUUAUCACGUUUGCUUUACACGCAGAAGGUCGCCGCUUCGAUCUCGGCCAAGACCU